ACGAACGCUGGCGGCGUGCUUAACACAUGCAAGUCGCACGGAAAGGCCCUGCUUUUGUGGGGUGUUCGAGUGGCGAACGGGUGAUUAAAACGUGAUAAACCUGCCCUUGACUUUGGGUUAACUUCAGGAAACUGGGGCUAUUACCGGAAAGGAGCUCCUGCUGCAUGGGGGGGGUUGGAAAGUUUCGGCGGUUGGGGUUGGACUCGCGGCUUAUCAGCUUGUUGGUGGGGUAGUGGCUUACCAAGGCUUUGACGGGUAGCCGGCCUGAGAGGGUGACCGGCCACAUUGGGACUGAGAUACGGCCCAGACUCCUACGGGAGGCAGCAGUGGGGAAUAUUGCACAAUGGGCGGAAGCCUGAUGCAGCAACGCCGCGUGCGGGAUGACGGCCUUCGGGUUGUAAACCGCUUUCGCCUGUGACGAAGCGUGAGUGACGGUAAUGGGUAAAGAAGCACCGGCUAACUACGUG
rnacentral:rRNA from 1 species